rnacentral:rRNA from 1 species
AUUGAACGCUGGCGGCAAGCCUAACACAUGCAAGUCGAACGAGUGGCGGACGGGUGAGUAAUGUCUGGGAAACUGCCUGAUGGAGGGGGAUAACUACUGGAAACGGUAGCUAAUACCGCAUACCAUCGGAUUUGCCCAGAUGGGAUUAGCUAGUAGGUUGGGGAAAGGCGCACCUAGGCGACGAUCCCUAGCUGGUAUGAGAGGAUGAACAGCCACACUGGAACUGAGACACGGUCCAGACUCCUACGGGAGGCAGCAGUGGGGAAUAUUGCACAAUGGGUGCAAGCCUGAUGCAGCCAUGCCGCGUGUAUGAAGAAGGCCGUCGGGUUGUAAAGUACUUUCAGCGGGGAGGCGUUACCCGCAGAAGAAGCACCGGCUAACUCCGUGCCAGCCGCCGCUGUAAUUC